GUUGAACGCUGGCGGCAUGCUUUACACAUGCAAGUCGAACGGCAGCGCGGGGCAACCUGGCGGCGAGUGGCGAACGGGUGAGUAAUACAUCGGAACGUACCCAGAAGUGGGGGAUAACGUAGCGAAAGUUACGCUAAUACCGCAUACGUUCUACGGAAGAAAGUGGGGGAUCUUCGGACCUCAUGCUUUUGGAGCGGCCGAUGUCUGAUUAGCUAGUUGGUGAGGUAAAGGCUCACCAAGGCGACGAUCAGUAGCUGGUCUGAGAGGACGACCAGCCACACUGGGACUGAGACACGGCCCAGACUCCUACGGGAGGCAGCAGUGGGGAAUUUUGGACAAUGGGCGCAAGCCUGAUCCAGCAAUGCCGCGUGAGUGAAGAAGGCCUUCGGGUUGUAAAGCUCUUUUGUCAGGGAAGAAACGGCCGAGGCUAAUACCUUUGGCUAAUGACGGUACCUGAAGAAUAAGCACCGGCUAACUACGUGCCAGCCGCCGCGGUAAAAC
rnacentral:rRNA from 1 species